UCUUUUUGUAAACAUAUACACACACAUUUGAAAACCCUGAAGUUUCACAAAACAAAUACACGCACACCAGCCAUAUCCCUUCCAACUCUCUGCUCUCACUCUCAUCGUGAGUCGCCUGAGACGGAGCCAGCGACGUUACGGCAGGCCACACAACCCUCAACACUUCAUCCUCUUUCUCUCGAUACCCUCAACAGACGACCGGAGAUGGGGAACUUCUGACCAGCGUCGUCUGUUCCGGUAACCACCACACCCACAGCCGAACACCCCCCCUCUUCUCUUCGGUAAACGUCGGCCACCACCAUUGGUGGCGGCGCACAACGGUGGCAGCAGAGCCUCGACGGCUCGAGGCAGUGGUGGUGAUUUUGUUGUUGAUGACGAUGGUGGGCCCGUGAGCGACAGAGGGAGAUCGAGAAACAGAGAGAGUGGCGGAGAUAGGCAGCGGCGUCGCCGCUACGGCGGCAGUGACGGUGGAUUCCGACAAGUUUCCGGUAAGCAUUAGUCUCUUCCUUACAUUUCCGUCUCAGAUCCGUUAUAGAUCCUUCUUCUUCGGGUUAGCACGUGAUGUUUUCAGGUGGUUCGAGAAGGCGACAACGGUGGUCAGUAGUGGUUGCUGGUUAUUCUUGGUGUUCGGGUCAGAUUUGAGAUAUGUUCAGAGCUUCACGUUUCGGGUCAAGUCCCAUUUUGGGUUCAGGUUACGUAGGAAAACAAAAGGGUGUAGUAUCGGCUUCGGCUCAGUCAAGCGGUCAACGGCUCGGUCAAGCGGUCAACGGUUCGGGUCAACGGUCAUACUUGUUCGGGUCAAAUUCAGAGUUUGUUCGGGUCAAGCUUCGAUGCGGUCAACGCGGACAUAUUAGGUUUUAGCGCGGUUUGGGUCGACUCGGUCAAACCUGGUCAACUCAGCGAGUCAACUCGGUCAACCCAGUUGACUCGGUCAACUCAGUUAGCAUUUCGACACGAGGAGAUGGUAAAUAUUUAGGACGCGUUUAUUAUUUACGUUAUUUAGUUUUAACUCAUAACGUGAACGAGCUCGACCGAUCAGGGGCGGACCUACCUCCAUGCUAAGGUGGGCGGGCGCACCCCCAGGAAAAUAAAAAUUUAGUGUUAUUAUCCGAUUAAAAUCCCGUCCGCACCCCUUGGAUUUAUUCGUCCACACCUCUUGAAAUUUUUCGUCCGCACACCUUAGGUAAAAAAUAUUACGGAUUAUAUUAAAAAAAAUUAGUAAAGUCUGAUUAAAAAAAACUACCUAUAUUAUAUAAACUUAUACUACCUAAACCCAAACCAAACACACUAUAUAAACUUAUCAAUAGCCCACUAAUAAUCUAGCCCAUUAACCCACCUAAGUUAAAACUAAAAUAGUUAAAAUAAGCCCAAAAACCCUUCAAUUCCUCUCCCGCUAUGUGCGACUGUGCGUGCUCUCUGCCUCAUGUCCUGCCAACGAUCUUCAUCAGCCAACACAGCAACAACACUGCAGCAGUCGAUAUCAGCCGGAAUCCGACAUCAACAUGACCGGAAUCCGCUCCAAACCAACCGGACACCGAAAACGGAACCAUGAGUAGGGAUGUUAUGGCGCAAUUUCUCAAGAGGAAAGUGGUUGUACCACUUUUUUUUGCCGAAUUCUGCUAAUUAUAGCCUAAGGAAUGUCAUAGUUGCACGCUAGCUACUUCACGUUCUAGGAACGGCACUACGGAAUCACGCUAAGCUAGCAUUGCACAGGAAUGUCAAGGUUGCAUUUUCAAAACUAUGGAACGGUUGGAAUAGGAAAACCCAUGGGAAUUCGAG